GGGUCGUCAACAUUUGCAUUUUAAAGAAUUUCAAUAUAAAACUCUUAUCUGCUUGUGAGCCUGAAUAAUAUCAGGAUAUCAGAAAUCUACCAGUGUUUUACUGCUAUGGCGGCUCCGACUUCAACGCUCGCCCUCUAGAUGGAAACAAACGGGAACAGAAGUGAACAGUGUGACACUGCAUGGAUUGUAAUCGGUAGCAUCCUCACUCCCUUAUCCCUACCCAAACAGUUUUUGGUCGAUUGUCAGAAAUAAUUGACGACGCUGGUCGCGAGUCAGUAUUCCGACCAAUAGACCCCUAUCCACGAUGGCA
rnacentral:sRNA from 2 species